rnacentral:rRNA from 1 species
CUUAGUAGCGGCGAGUGAAGCGGCAAAAGCUCAAAUUUGAAAUCUGGCGCCUUCGGUGUCCGAGUUGUAAUUUGAAGAUUGUAACCUUGGGGUUGGCUCUUGUCUAUGUUUCUUGGAACAGGACGUCACAGAGGGUGAGAAUCCCGUGCGAUGAGAUGCCCAAUUCUAUGUAAGGUGCUUUCGAAGAGUCGAGUUGUUUGGGAAUGCAGCUCUAAGUGGGUGGUAAAUUCCAUCUAAAGCUAAAUAUUGGCGAGAGACCGAUAGCGAACAAGUACAGUGAUGGAAAGAUGAAAAGAACUUUGAAAAGAGAGUGAAAAAGUACGUGAAAUUGUUGAAAGGGAAGGGUUUGAGAUCAGACUCGAUAUUUUGUGAGCCUUGCCUUCGUGGCGGGGUGACCCGCAGCUUAUCGGGCCAGCAUCGGUUUGGGCGGUAGGAUAAUGGCGUAGGAAUGUGACUUUACUUCGGUGAAGUGUUAUAGCCUGCGUUGAUGCUGCCUGCCUAGACCGAGGACUGCGAUU